rnacentral:rRNA from 1 species
GACGAACCGAGCGAACGUUGUUCGGAAUCACUGGGCUUAAAGGGCGCGUAGGCGGGUUCUCAAGUCCGGGGUGAAAUCCCACAGCUCAACUGUGGAACUGCCUCGGAUACUGGGGGUCUCGAGGGUGGUAGGGGUAUGCGGAACUAUCGGUGGAGCGGUGAAAUGCGUUGAUAUCGAUAGGAACUCCGGUGGCGAAGGCGGCAUACUGGACCACAUCUGACGCUGAGGCACGAAAGCUGGGGGAGCAAACAGG